GGGCUCAGCCACCUGCACAGCAAAGAUGUACAGAUGUGCCUGCAUGGUGAAGAAGCAGCCCCUUUGUUGAAGGUGCAAAUUCACUCAGCUGUGGUGAGCUCUGGUGAGCGCCUCACCACCAGAGCUGACCAUUUCACUGCAAGGUUUGUCCCAAGAAGGCUCGGACUACAUGAAAGGAGGCAGGAGCAGCUGUCUUCUGACUGUGACCACUUGCCAUGAUGUGGGAAUGGGCAUUGUUUCACCAGGACCUACAGCUUCAGCUUCAUCAUCUGCAGCAUCCCCACCUCAGCAGUAACACCCUGUGUGCACUCGUGCCUGAGCUGCCAUCCCGUGUGAUGUUCCUGGGGUACAUGUCCUUCACCCUAGGGAUUUGUGGUUCUCCAGUGGUGCAUGGCCCACAGACACAAAUGGGUCUCUUGAAGAGCAGCAGCUGCUGGCUGCCCAGAGAGGCAGUGGAGAAGCCUCCUGGACGUGGUCCUGGGCAACCUGCUCUGGGUGGCCAGCUUGAGCAAGGGUUGGGCCAGGUGACCUCCAGAGGUCCUUCGGCCAUCCUGCAAUUCUGUAUUUAAGGGGGAAAGCAGGACGUUGGAAGAGGAGUGAAUGCCUCAACACCUGAUAUCCCCUUUGCCAGUGUUGAGGCUGCUUUACUGAAAGCCCCUCCAUCGCCGCGGGAAGCUCUGCUGGUUUUGCUGCAUUUCCCCUGCUCGGUACAGGGCUGGAUGCGCUGAGCUGCGAGGUGUGAAGGAGCAUCCUGGAAGAGAAGGAAGCUAAAUAUAUUCUGCUACAAGAUUUCUUCCAUUCCUCUCUCCACCCCCAGAUCCCAGAGACUACAAUGGCUUAUGCAGGGCUUUACAUAUGCAGCAAAUGGUGGGGGAGGAAAAUUCCCACAGAUGAAGAUCUGAAGCCCAGCACCACCACC